rnacentral:rRNA from 1 species
AUUCAAAGAGUGCGUAACAGCUCACUAGUCGAGAGGUCCUGCGCCGAAAAUGUCCGGGGCUAAAACACAACACCGAAGCUUAGGAUUCAUGUUUACAUGAGUGGUAGAGGAGCAUUCUUGCAACCGACGAAGCUGUACUGUAAAGAGCAGUGGAGGAACAAGAAGAGAGAAUGCCGGAAUGAGUAGCGAGAUGAAGGUGAGAAUCCUUCAGGCCGAAUAUCUAAGGUUUCCAGAGUAAAGCUGAUCUGCUCUGGGUAAGUCGGGGCCUAAGGCGAGGUCGAAAGACGUAGUCGAUGGAUAACAGGUUGAGAUUCCUGUACUGCAAUAAAUCAGAACUGUGGGGACGCAUGGACAAAGCUUAAGCCAGGAAUGGAAAUACUGGUGCAAGCGAGGUAGAGGAUUAGUUGGCAAAUCCGCUAAUCAACUCAAAGACGUGAUGCGGAGCGAAAUUAAAGUAGCGAAGUAA